GUCGGCGGCUUCAGCGGUGUUCACGCAAAACUGUGUUUCGAUUUCAGUUUCAUGAAUUAAGCGUCAAACACCGCUGUGCAUUCGCAUUUUUAAAAUGGCCGCGACCUCGUGUUCGUGAUACGAAUGGCAGCCACCCAGCAUUCGUCAAUUAAGCUGCGGUUAACCGCAGCUUCAGGGAGGUUAAUUGCCGGCACACUCCAGCUCCCAGGUGGUCCAGUCAUUCGUGUGGUUGUUCGGUAGAUUGAAUCUACCGAACACCAGGCAGAAAAGAACGAAUAAACCUUUUCUGCAGGUAAAAAAGAUGUCUUUUAACAUGGGGCCAUAGUCUAAAGGCAACGGCCGAGCAACCAGGCUUCUCCAAUGCAAUGUGAUGAGAUUGCUCUCGUCACAGAAACGAUAAACAGUAACGAUAGAAUGCAGGAGGUGGACUGACAGAACUAACUUCUAGGGAACAUGGCCCCGGAGGGAGGGCAAAGCGGAGCAUUCACUCACAACUUCCUACAGAAUAAGUUUCUUUACA